UCCGAGGUAGCUCAGCGGUAGAGCAGACGACUGUUAAUCGUCUGGUCCCUGGUUCGAUCCCAGGUCUCGGAGC
rnacentral:tRNA from 1 species